GCCUAACACAUGCAAGUCGAACGGAACUUUUUUAAUUGAUUUCUUCGGAAUGAUUUUGAUUAAGUUUAGUGGCGGACGGGUGAGUAACGCGUGAGUAACCUGCCUCUGAGAGGGGAAUAACAUUCUGAAAAGAAUGCUAAUACCGCAUAAUAUAUAUUUAUCGCAUGGUAGAUAUAUCAAAGAUUUAUCGCUCAGAGAUGGACUCGCGUCCGAUUAGUUAGUUGGUGAGGUAACGGCUCACCAAGACCAGGAUCGGAAGCCGGACUGAGAGGUUGAACGGCCACAUUGGGACUGAGACACGGCCCAGACUCCUACGGGAGGCAGCAGUGGGGGAUAUUGCGCAAUGGGGGAAACCCUGACGCAGCAACGCCGCGUGAAGGAUGAAGGUCUUCGGAUUGUAAACUUCUUUUAUUAAGGACGAAUAAAGUGACGGUACUUAAUGAAUAAGCUCCGGCUAACUACGUGCCAGCCGCCGCAGUAA
rnacentral:rRNA from 1 species